CCCCUCCGUGUGCGCCGAGGGUGGUCCUGCCGCGCAAAGAAGAACUUCUUCCGCGAACCGUCUCCCGCCCACGAACGCCCAAAGCAGCCAGCGAACAGAGUCGAAUUCACCGUGCAAACAGGUCCACCUCCAAGAGAUGCUGGUGAGACUGGGUUUUUCGCGGACCAGUAAGUGGCCCCCGCCUCUGGCUGCCUGCGUAGGAUGGCCUGGGGUACCCUGCUCUCUAGGAGCUCCCGGGCCCCUCAGUCGGCUUGGCCCACCCCUCCCACUCCGCCGUCUCUCAGCCCCGUGGGCACGCCCAGUGUGGCCGGCGCGCCGGUUAAGACGGAAAGCAGCGCAAGGGAGUCUGUAGGUUGCACGCACGGAAGACACCUGGUUUCCUCAUUAAUGUGAAGACUGCUUUAUUGUACAUGCUUUUCGGACUGGACCAUGCACAACCCCAGUUCUGUGCAGGGAGGAUGCAAAACAGCAGAAUAUCUAUGGUACAUUUAUAAGGAGCAUUAAUUUUACUACAUGAUUUGGAAGAAACAACGUUAAGUAAUUUCCUAGUUCUUUCCAGCACAGAGCUCCAGGCAGCCACCACAAAUGGACUGAUGUUGGCGUACAAGAUUAAAACUGCCCUGUGAUCGCAUGCAGAGUGGAAACUGGCACCAGCAGCUUCAGUGGAAAAAAUUAAUCAUUCUAGAAGAAUAGAUGAUCCACCCUAAGCAAGGACUCAGGAACCCAGAAGUCGUGGUAAGGGCUUAGAGCCAGAUUGCUUCAUUUCCUCCCUCCUUGGCUGUACUUGUAUGUGACUGGUAUGGAAAUCCAGAAAGCAUACAGAAACAUUAAAAAUAGCAACUAUGUGGGCUGGGUCAAUACAUGGAAGUAUAUAAAUGAAGGAGUAUUUUUAAAAAACACGAAACAGUUUGGCACAGUCUGAUUAAAACUGUCUCAUGUAUGUUCAUAAACAAGUUUAGAAAGGAAUUUGGAAAUGAUUGAAAUUUUUUUAUAAAGCUCAUUCUUUGGGGUUGUUCAAAUUCUAAAAUGUGUUUAGAAACAAAUUGAUACAUUAACAGUUUAAAUCUUAGCUAUCCAGAAACUUCAAAUAUCUAGAAUUUCCCAAAGGUCUGUGCAACUCAGAUAGUACUAUAGUUUGAAAACUAUUAAUGCAUAAUGCAGUUGAUGAAAUAACACACAUUCACAGAGAAAGGAGCAAUUGCUAUAAUAUUAUAUGUAUAUAAUAAAUAUAACUAUAUAUACGUAUAAUAGGGAACACCUGUAAUGAGUGAGCCACUGCUGUAAGUGCUUUAUAUUCAUUAACUCUCAAGAAUUCUCCUUGAAGUAGGCUUUAGUAUCUCUCAAAAAUACAGUGUUGAAUGAAAAACACAAGUUACAGAAGUAUAUAUAGCAAGUACAUUUAUGGAAAGUUUCAAAUCUUACAAAGUUAAACAAUGUAUUACUUAGAGGUGCAUACAUACGUAGUAAAACUAUAAUGAAAGUCAAGAGUAAUAAAUGUUUUAACCUUCAGAUUAAUGAUUUUCCUGUCUGAAGAGGUAAAGGGUUAUGUUGGGAAGAGCCAUGUAGACAGCUUCAAAGGUACUGGUAAAAUUUUAUUAAGCAAGAGAAAGGUACAGGGUUUUUAUUUUAUUUAUUUUAUUUUUUCUUCAUUUUAUGUGUGUGUGUGUAUAAAUACAUAUGCAUCUGUGCAUUUAUAUACAUAAUAUAAAAUUGUGUAUGUAUAAAAGAAAAAAUUUUAAACAGCUUUAUUGGGAUACAGUUUACAUGUGGUACACUUUGUGUGUUUAAAGUGUAUAAUUUAGUGGUUUUCAUAUACUCACAUGUAUGUACAACCAUCACCACAGUCAAAUUUAUUUAUUUUUUUCAAAUAUUUUAUUUAUUUAUUUUGGUUUUUUGUUGAUGUUGUUUCGGGGGGAGGGGUAAUUAGAUUUACUUAUUUUAUUUACUGGAGGGACUGGGGAUUGAACCCAGGACCUCUUGCAUGCUAAGCAUGGGCUCUGCCACCAAGCUGUACCCUCCCGCCACUAGUCAAAUUUAGAACAUUUUUUUCAGCUCAGAAAGAAACCUUUAGGUAUCACCCUUCUAUUCCCCCCACCCCUCUCCUUCAGCCCUAAGCAACCACUAAGCUACAUUUCUGUGUAGAUUUUCCUAUACUGGACAUUUCACAAAGAUGGAAUCAUGUAACAUGUUGACUUUUAUGAGUGGCUUCUUUCACUUGCCGUAAUGUCUUCGAGGUCAUCCAAGUUUUAGUGUGUGUCAAUACUUCAUUCCUUUUUAUGGCUGUCAUAAUAGUAUUUAAAUUUUUUUUUAUCUUGAAUGAUGGUGUUUGAGAAAAAAUAAUUUACUUAGAAUGAAAUGAGAAAGAAUGAUUACUCUGGAGAUCCUAAAGGACUUUUACUCGUGAGAUCUCUGGAGGUGGGUGGCCCUGAUUCUUGUUCCAGAGUGUGACUUACAGUGCUGGGAAUACUAAGCUAUAGAGUGAAUUGUGGGUUCCCAGGUGAAUGUGAAUGAGGCAGAGGGCAGAAGAAGAGUUCUUUUACUAAGGGAAAGGGACAAAAAUCUGUGAAAGAGGGAAGAGGAGAGCUGCUUGAAGCAGAAUUAACACAGCUACGAGGAGUGAAAGGCAGAAUAAAAGGUGCGCACACAGCUUGGGUACACGGUCUAAGGGGAGAAAAGAAGGUGACAAGAUAGGGCCGUCAGGUCGUAAAUCUCCAACAGCUGGAGUCACUGGCCCUCGAGGCCUGGUUGUGACCUCAGCAGGAAGGGAGCUAGGACUAGCGGUGGGGUGAGGGCGGAUGCUCAGGAAGGAAGUCAGUGUACAGGCGGCAUCAGUGUGUAUAUGGUGUGGAACUUUAGGGAGUGCCUGUAUUUGGCCUUCAGGCCUGUUGGAAAGUACUUAUUUAUUCAAUCAACCACCUCUUAAGUGCCUGCUGUGUGACACACUGUGCUAUGGACUGUAGAUACAGUAUCACCCUUUCCCUGCCUUCAAGGGACUUAGCAUCUCAUAGGAACAGUACUUAUUUUUUCUUUUCCAUUUCCCCACAGUUCCUGCAAGUGUGUUCUGCACAGAUGGGCAAAUUAUGAUUACUGUUGAUUAAUAAUAAAAGAAAUAAAGUUUUUUACAUUCAGAUUUUUUCAAAAAUGAGUAUCUAAGAUGUAGAAUUCUGUAUAUUUGGCUUCUUUAAUGUUAGCAAAACAGAAUAAAUAGAAAAUGAAAAAAACUAAUUUUCCAAUUUAAAAUUUUCACAUUGAUGUCAGUAGGAGUCCUUUGUUUGUGUUUCCUAAAGUGUAUAUACUUAAGAGCUUUAGAUUUUUUUAAAAAAUUAUUAAUUUUUUGGUGGGGGAGGUAAUUAAGCUUAUUUAUUUAUUUUUGGAGGAGGUACUGGGGGUUGAACUCAGGACCUCAUGCGUGCUGAGCAUGCGCUCUACCACUUGAGCUGCACCCUCCCCCUAGGAGUCUAGAUCUUUUAAAAGGGGCAAGAGAGAAAGAAAUACAUAAGUGACUCAUGCCAUAUUUCCUGGCAUGUCAGAUUACUGUGAUGAUGAUUAUAUACUUAGAUUUACAAGUAUAGAAUUUUUUCAGUGACGUAUUUGUUUAUAGUUGAAAUGUGGAUUUCAUCUCCUUUAUUCCUCUUGAACUCAGUCAUAGUCUUGAGCAGCCACCCAAAGAAUCUUACAUUGAAGCUGGGUUUCUCUCCCUAGGAAUGUUUAUCGGAAAGGAAAAAGAAGAUGCAUUGAGUCAAUUAACCUUGGCCAUCAUGCUUACUUUCACUAAGGAGUGUGAAGUUUUACUCCCAUCACAAGUUUGUAGACUUCUUUGCCCCAAAUUCAACACACACAGACCCAGCUGAACGUCAGUGACAGCACAGGGGACGGUUACAAAUACUUGGUGUGGACUAAGUCUUGGGAACUUAUCAGAGUUGUUGCAAGUUAUAUCCCUUUUUGAUAAAUGCAUGUGUCUGUGAAAAUAAGGAGCGAUUUGAUUCCAGACUCAAUUCAUCAUGUUCUUUUUCCCAGCUGUGGUUUGCAAUUGGUAUUUGAGAUACUAGAAACUAAAAAUGCUGGUAAGCCACAGGGGGAAAAAAAUCCUGUUUUCUGAGUGCUUCAGACUUAAUCCUGGGCUUGUUCCUUAAUCACAUUGGAAAAAGAGAAGCUAUUUUUAAAAAAUGGAAAACUAUAAAGUAACACUGAUGAGAAAUGUAGAUUUGGGGAAGAAAAACCAGAAAUGUAGAUUUAGUAUAUUUCAUAGGUGUGAUGGACCAGAAAGAUCAGCUUAAGAAAUUGAAGCUAAAAUCACAUGUUGUCACAUGGAAACUCUUGGGAACAGAGCUUAGCCAGAACCUGAGUGUCCUGAAUCUCAGGUUGUUAAUCCUUCAUGACAUGACAUUGCCAAUGAAGAGGCUGACUCAUGUUUAUAUAAUUAAAAAAAAAAACAACAAGGGGGGAAAGGGCCUUCUUCCUUUAUAUCAUUCAUGUUCAAAACUCGUGGCGCAGUAGGUCUGCCCUGCAGGACUACACCAUUACUUCCUAAACCUUCAUUCUCAAAUAACUAUGCCUGUGGUGGAUUAGGGAAAGAAGGGGUGACAGUGAAGGAGACUGAGCAGUCUCCUGCUAAAGUUAAAAUAAUAUUCCUACAUCCUUACAAAAAGUUAAUCAAAAUACUAUUCCCAAUUUAUCAUCCCACAAUUUGGCUGGGGGUUGGGGGUGGGCACUUAAUGCUGGUGUAUACUGGCAUCUGAUGUAAAUGGAUGUCUGAUCUAACAGCUACAAAAAUGAAAGUACACAUUUAGUUAUAGAAGAUGAGAGUUUCUGCUGUGAAAUGAUGAUACUAACCCAGAGUCAUCCAGACUUUAAUUAAUGGCAAGAAUUUAAUUAGAUGCCCAGGAGCACUCACUUGAAAAUUAAACUCCCAUCAACAUCCCUGGAAGCAUCUCUGGAACUUUGCCUCUGGACACAAACUUUUGUCUUCAAAAACAGCAGACAAAAACCAAACAGCAGACAGGAAGGUGAGCCCUGCUUGGGCAGGCACUGAGAGGAAAUUAGUGCCCUGAUGCCAUACACCUCCAGGAGCCCGUGCGUACCGGCUUUCCCGGCAUCAUACCCAUCUGCUCAGCAAGGAGAGUCCUCAGGAACCUUCACCUAUGUCCCUGCCCCAUCCAAGCCAAAAUGAAACAACCCAAAGAGAAAGAAAGAACACGUGUUGAAGCUGAGCUCCUCAUUUAAAGUAUGAAAAGCCUGUACUUUUCCAAGUUACAAAUUCAGAAUAGAAAAACAAGUCUCCUUGCCUCCUGGAUUGUUCUCUCUGUACUGAGAACAUGCUCUGUGCUUUCUAAACGCAUCACUGGGGAGAGCCAUCGCUCAGCGUGGAUGUAAUCAAAAUUCCUGUGCGUAGGCAAACGUACAUUUGUUUUUAGAAAUGGGGGUUAUACUGUAUGCUUUUAUAUCCUACUUCUAAAAUACGUAAUGUUCUUAUAAUUAUUUUACAGUUAUUUGAAACAACUUCAGUGGCUAUAUAAUACUAAAUCAAAAGAGCAUUUUAUUUCACCAUUAUUUAUUUCACCAUUUUCCUACUGGACAUUUAGGUUGCUUCCCGUGUAAAAGCAUAUAUAGCUUAUUAUUUGAUGAAUAUUUGUCUGCGUCCCCAGAUUGUAAACACAUGUGUUUGUUUUUGGUCACCAAGAUACUCUUAUUCCAGAACAGUAUGUGAAAUACAUUGGAUAGGCGACAGCAUCUGUAGAGUGAAUAAAGGAACCUAGCCUUCAAUCCUUCAGAUCAGCCUCAUCCAGAAAACAUUCCUCUGCGUACAUAGUUGUCUCCCUCUCUGCCAAAAUUUCCCUACAGUUCUUUUCCUUGCAGAGAAAAAGAGGGAAAUGCUAUUUAUUGCCAGGCAUUGUGCUAGAUACAUUCAGGAAGAUAUCUCGUGCCAAAAGGUUUGCACCUUAGCCUAGAGGACAUGCAAAAAAACCUGCCAUGAAAUUUUCAAUCAAGAACCCUUCCGGAACUCUCCAGUGAGCAGGUUAUGCAAGCUGCUCCAGGAAGUGACAGAUGUAUGUCUCUAAGACAAACGUAAACGAGAAACAUUCAAGUCAAUAACCACUUCCUAUUAAAUGUUCGUUUGUACAGAACCAUCUCCCCUCCUCCACAAACAUGGAAGAGAAGAGGGAGGAGAGCAGGGGAGGGGAGAAGUGCCCCAGGACAACAGUCCAGGCUCUGAAGCUUCGCCCAGGGUGCGGUGGAUGGGCUGGCCUGCAGCCAGGGCAGCCUUUCCUCUUGUCUCCCAGGUGGAUUCAAGCCAUCCUUUAAGCUGACUGUUAUUUUGGUUAUGAUGACUUUGAGUGCCAUGGAGGUCCCAGAUACCCUCUUAUUUUGAAUCCCCUCCAGAGAAUGCUGGGACGGCCCGCACCCCUCCACCCUCCACCAGGUGAAGUCCUCGGUGGGGCGAGCUGUGCACCUGCAGUGGCGUGCACUUCUGGCACUGCUCCACUUGCAGCCGUGUGAAGCCAGCCCCUGGACCACCUCCCACACUGUGUUGUCAGCUCCACGGAACUCAUGGUCUUCAUGUGCAGUAGAAAGUGCAGGGAGUGUAGCUUGACUUCCCCACUUUCUUGUCCCCACUGCUUGUCAUGGGAUGUUCAGUCAGCUCCACUUUGCUUCAGGCUGCAUUGCAGAUCUUUCUGGCUGACCUGAAACAAAGCUGUCUUGAGUAGGAAGUUGAAGAAGCUCCCAGAGGGCCUCCUGCCAGCCUGGCUGUUGCCAGAGGGAGGGCUGGAGUCACACCACCAGGCUUCCCAGCAUGCAGGGGAUUUCCUUGGAAGGAUGCACCCUGGGUGGGUUCCAUCUGAGGCUCCACCGCUGCUGCUGUUCCUGGGGUUGGGGGGGUGAUUGCUGCAGGGCCACACGGGGGGGCUGUGCUGGAAGUGGUGGUCCUUGGCUCCAGGCUGGGUCUGGGACGCUGGCUGUGCUGUUGGUCUUGCACUCUGACUUCCGGUCCUUCCCAGGCCACUGACUUUCUAGGUUACAGAACAAAGCAAAGGUGGAAGUAGCAGGCUUGCUGAAAGGAUGCCUCUUUGGAUACACACAGACUUUCAGCUAAACUUGUGGGAUGAGAAAGGACUUCAGUUGUUGGGGGGAUCAGCUCAAGGCAGGGGCCUCAUGGCGAUGGUAGAGCCUUCCACCUUGGGUUGUAGCCCAGGAUCAGGUAGGUGGCCAUCACUUCUGGCUUAUCCAUGAGUCCUAGGUAGGUCACACCUGUAGCCCAUGGAUAACAUCAGUGAAGUCUGCCAGGGCCCUUUGGAGUCAGGGGAUGGCUCGAUGGAAGGCCCGAGUUCCUCCUCCUGAAGCAUGUUCACCACAGGUCCCUCAUGGCACACGCGGGAUGUGUUGGGCCAGCUUCACCCCGACAUGGCUGCCCUGGCUGGUGGUCUUGAGCUGGUAACUGCCAAUCUCCCCCUCGGCAAAGCUAGCCGCGGGGCCCUGCGGCACGGUGACUUGCUAGCUACACUCCCUGGCAAUACUGACAAUACAAACCAACAAACUAAAUAAAAAUAAGAUAAAAGAAUAGAGAAAAGAAACAACUAAGAAAAAGAACAAAGGAAAAAAACUACCUGUAGUCAUAGUCCCUUAGGUCACCAAAAACCAGCUUCCCUAGACCCAGCCAGGGGCUUAAAUAGGUGCUUAAAACCCGCCCCAGUGGCUCCUUUGUAGGUUAUGGCAAGAAAUGGCCGUGUUACAACAGGGGAUAGUUCAUGGUGCUUUUCUUACCUUUAAUCUCAAGAACGCUUUACUCUUUUAAAGGGGGAAGGGGUAGAGGACUCAAAAGGACUUUUUGUCGAUGCAGGAUAUAGUGAUUAAUAUUUAUCGUAUUAGAAAUUAAAACCCAUAGGAUGCUUCAGUGGCUUUUUCAGUCCUAGUUUGAAAGUCUGUAAUAAAUUUUGGCUUUUAAAAACA